rnacentral:rRNA from 1 species
CUAUUCCUGUACUAUGAUAUGACAGAACUGUGGGGACACGUGCAGAGAGCGGAAGCCGGGAAUGGGAUCCCGGUGCAAGCGAGGUACCAGCCGCAUUGGAAAAACCGUGCGGCAAUGGGAAGACGUGAUGCGGAGUGAAGUUUAGUAAUGAAGUCCGUGAGCUGUGCGUCAGAAAAGCCGCUAUUGUUCAUACCAUACCCGUACCGUAAACCGACACAGGUGGAUGAGGAGAGAAUCCUAAGGCCGGCGGAAGAAGCAUUGUCAAGGAACUCGGCAAAAUGACCCCGUAACUUCGGGAGAAGGGGUGCCUGCGAGAGCAGGCCGCAGAGAAUAGGCUCAAGCAACUGUUUAGCAAAAACACAGGUCUAUGCGAAACCGAAAGGUGAGGUAUAUGGGCUGACGCCUGCCCGGUGCUGGAAGGUUAAGAGGAGAGGUUAGCGCAAGCGAAGCUUUGAAUUUAAGCCCCAGUAAACGGCGGCCGUAACGAUAACGGUCCUAAGGUAGCGAAAUUCCUUGUCGGGUAAGUUCCGACCCGCACGAAAGGCGUAAUGAUUUGAGCGCUGUCUCGACAAUGCAUCCGGUGAAAUUGAAGUACCAGUGAAGAUGCUGGUUACCUGCGCCAGGACGGAAAGACCCCAUGGAGCUUUACUCCAGUUUGGUACUGGGAUCCGGUACUGCAUGUACAGGAUAGGUGGGAGGCUAUGAAUCGGUAACGCCAGUUGCCGAGGAGCCGCUGUUGGGAUACCACCCUUGCAGUAUUGGGUUUCUAACCAGCCGCCGUGACCCGGCGGUGGGACAAUGCCAGACGGGGAGUUUGACUGGGGCGGUCGCCUCCGAAAGGGUAUCGGAGGCGCCCAAAGGUUCCCUCAGGAUGGACGGAAACCAUCCAAAGAGUGCAAAGGCAGAAGGGAGCUUGACUGCGACACCGACGGGUGGAGCAGGUACGAAAGUAGGGCUUAGUGAUCCGGUGGUAUUAAGUGGGAAUGCCAUCGCUCAACGGAUAAAAGCUACCCUGGAUAACAGGCUUAUCACUCCCAAGAGUUCACAUCGACGGAGUGGUUUGGCACCUCGAUGUCGGCUCAUCGCAUCCUGGGGCUGUAGUAGGUCCCAAGGGUUGGGCUGUUCGCCCAUUAAAGCGGUACGCGAGCUGGGUUCAGAACGUCGUGAGACAGUUCGGUCCCUAUCCGGCGUGGGCGUAGGAUAUCUGAGAGGAGCUGUCCUUAGUACGAGAGGACCGGGAUGGACGGGCCGCUGGUGCACCGGUUAGACUGCCAAGUCUAUAGCCGGGUAGCCAAGCCCGGAAGGGAUAAACGCUGAAGGCAUCUAAGCGUGAAGCCCACCUCAAGAUGAGAUAUCCCAUCCGAAAGGAGUAAACCCCCUUGAAGACGACGAGGUCGAUAGGGCAGAGGUGGAAGUGUGGUAACACAUGGAGCUGACUGCUACUAAUAGGGUGAGGGCUUGACC